GCCCUACGGGACGCAGCAGUGGGGAAUAUUGCACAAUGGGAAACCCUGAUGCAGCGACGCCGCGUGAGUGAAGAAGUAUUUCGGUAUGUAAAGCUCUAUCAGCAGGGAAGAAAAAAGACGGUACCUGACUAAGAAGCCCCGGCUAACUACGUGCCAGCAGCCGCGGUAAUACGUAGGGGGCAAGCGUUAUCCGGAUUUACUGUGUGUAAAGGGAGCGUAGACGGUAUGGCAAGUCUGAAGUGGAAGCCCAGGGCUUAACCCUGGGACUUCUUUGGA
rnacentral:rRNA from 1 species